UACGUAUGGUGCAAGCGUUAUCCGGAUUUACUGGGCGUAAAGGGAGCGCAGGUGGUUUCUUAAGUCAGAGGUGAAAGGCUACGGCUCAACCGUAGUAAGCCUUUGAAACUGGGGAACUUGAGUGCAGGAGAGGAGAGUGGAAUUCCUAGUGUAGCGGUGAAAUGCGUAGAUAUUAGGAGGAACACCAGUUGCGAAGGCGGCUCUCUGGACUGUAACUGACACUGAGGCACGAAAGCGUGGGGAGCAAACAGG
rnacentral:rRNA from 1 species